rnacentral:rRNA from 1 species
AUUGAACGCUGGCGGCAUGCUUUACACAUGCAAGUCGAACGGUAACAGGUUAAGCUGACGAGUGGCGAACGGGUGAGUAAUGCAUCGGGACGUGCCCGGUCGUGGGGGAUAACGCAGCGAAAGCUGCGCUAAUACCGCAUACGAUCUGAGGAUGAAAGCGGGGGACCGUAAGGCCUCGCGCGAUCGGAGCGGCCGAUGUCAGAUUAGGUAGUUGGUGGGUAAAGGCUCACCAAGCCAACGAUCUGUAGCUGGUCUGAGAGGACGACCAGCCACACUGGGACUGAGACACGGCCCAGACUCCUACGGGAGGCAGCAGUGGGGAAUUUUGGACAAUGGGCGAAAGCCUGAUUCAGCAAUGCCGCGUGCAGGAAGAAGGCCUUCGGGUUGUAACCUGCUUUUGUACGGAGCGAAAAGGUCUCCUCUAAUACAGGGGGCUCAUGACGGUACCGUAAGAAUAAGCACCGGCUAACUACGUGCCAGCAGCCGCCGUAA